UGGCUGUGAGAAGACCCUGAGACGGGAAGCAGUGUGCAGGGCACUUGAGGGCCCACUGGGGAGAAGCCACCUGUGAGGGACAGGACCGGGCAGGGAAGGCCACCAGCCAUGCGGUCACAGCCCAGGACUCCGCCAGUCCUGCAGGAGCCCUGGAGCCAGGCCCUUGCUGUACCUGGCCCACAGCUACCUCCCCUGCAGCCCUGAGUCCUGCUUGCUGUGCCCGGCUCAGGCUGAGACUGCAGUGCUUGUCCGUUCACCGUGAAAGGAAGGGAUGGAAAGAACACCCAACCAAGGGAGAGAAAACAGCAUUCUAAACAUCGGAAGGAAGCGAAACCUCGCCUCAGGCCUGCGGGCUCUGACAGGCAGGAUGGCAGCACGGAGGGCUGCUAUAUCCAGUGAAGUCAGCAGUUCAGAUGAAAUAGAUAACUCCCUUAAAAGACACAAAUUACCAAGACUGACGCAAAC
rnacentral:sRNA from 1 species